rnacentral:rRNA from 1 species
GCUGAGGCGUGAUGACGAGGCACUACGGUGCUGAAGCGACAAAUGCCCUGCUUCCAGGAAAAGCCUCUAAGCAUCAGGUAACAUCAAAUCGUACCCCAAACCGACACAGGUGGUCAGGUAGAGAAUACCAAGGCGCUUGAGAGAACUCGGGUGAAGGAACUAGGCAAAAUGGUGCCGUAACUUCGGGAGAAGGCACGCUGAUAUGUAGGUGAAGCGACUUGCUCGUGGAGCUGAAAUCAGUCGAAGAUACCAGCUGGCUGCAACUGUUUAUUAAAAACACAGCACUGUGCAAACACGAAAGUGGACGUAUACGGUGUGACGCCUGCCCGGUGCCGGAAG